rnacentral:rRNA from 1 species
UGGGGAAUAUUGGACAAUGGACCAAGAGUCUGAUCCAGCAAUUCUGUGUGCACGAUGAAGUUUUUCGGAAUGUAAAGUGCUUUCAGUUGGGAAGAAAAAAAUGACGGUACCAACAGAAGAAGUGACGGCUAAAUACGUGCCAGCAGCCGCGGUAAUACGUAUGUCACGAGCGUUAUCCGGACUUAUUGGGCGUAAAGCGCGUCUAGGUGGUUAUGUAAGUCUGAUGUGAAAAUGCAGGGCUCAACUCUGUAUUGCGUUGGAAACUGUAUAACUAGAGUACUGGAGAGGUAAGCGGAACUACAAGUGUAGAGGCGAAAUUCGUAGAUAUUUGUAGGAAUGCCGAUGGGGAAGCCAGCUUACUGGACAGAUACUGACGCUGAAGCGCGAAAGCGUGGGUAGCAAACAGGAUUAGAUACCCUGGUAGUCCACGCUGUAAACGAUGAUUACUAGGUGUUGGGGGUCGAACCUCAGCGCCCAAGCAAACGCGAUAAGUAAUCCGCCUGGGGAGUACGUACGCAAGUAUG